rnacentral:rRNA from 1 species
UACGUAGGUGGCAAGCGUUGUCCGGAUUUACUGGGCGUAAAGCGCACGCAGGUGGCUGAGUCAGUCGAUUGUGAAAGCCCUGGGCUUAACCUGGGAAUUGCAGUCGACACUACUUAGCUAGAGUAUGGGAGAGGGCAGUGGAAUUCCCGGUGUAGCGGUGAAAUGCGUAGAUAUCGGGAGGAACAUCAGUGGCGAAGGCGGCUGCCUGGCCCAAUACUGACACUCAGGUGCGACAGCGUGGGGAGCAAACAGG